rnacentral:misc_RNA from 1 species
CAGAGUUUUUAACUCCCAAACCAUUGUGAACUUACCUUCGUUGCCUCGGCGGGAGCUACCCAGCCUCCGCCGAUGGACAUCUAAACUCAUGUUAUUUUAAUGAUAUCUGAGCGUCUUAUUUUAAUAAGUUA